rnacentral:rRNA from 1 species
GAUGAACGCUGGCGGCGUGCCUAAUACAUGCAAGUCGAGCGAACAGACGAGAAUCUUGCUUCUCUGAUGUUAGCGGCGGACGGGUGAGUAACACGUGGAUAACCUACCUAUAAGACUUGGAUAACUUCGGGAAACCGGAGCUCAUACCGGAUAAUAUUUUGAACCGCAUGGUUCAAAAGUGUAAGACGGUCUUGCUGUCACUUAUAGAUGUAUCCGCGCUGCAUUAGCUAGUUGGUAUGGUAACGGCUUACCAAGGCAACGAUGGAUAGCCGACCUGAGAGGGGGAUGGGCCCCACUGGAACUGAGAGACGGUCUAGAGUCCUACGGGAGGCAGCAGUAGGGAAGCUUCCGCAAUGGGCGAAAUCCUGACGGAGCAACGCCGCGUGAGUGAUGAAGGUCUUCGGAUCGUAAAACUCUGUUAGUAGGGAAGACCGUUUGUGUAAGUAACUGUGCACAUCGUGACGGUACCUAAUCAGAAAGCAACGGCUAACUACGUG